rnacentral:misc_RNA from 1 species
GUGAAUCAUCGAAUCUUUGAACGCAUAUUGCGCUCGAGGCUUCGGCCGAGAGCAUGUCUGCCUCAGCGUCGGUCCAUCCCCUCACACCCUCCCUUUGUUUUCAAAUGGGUUGGGCUGUGGAUCUGGCCGUGUCGGCUGCCCAGUGUGGCCGAGUCGGCUGAAGCUCAGAGGCCUGAGCAAGCGCCCAUUCAACCGGGCAUCAACUUGGUGGGUGGCCUUCGGGCUGCGAAGCCGUUGAUGACCGGGGGACUUGCUGGGGGCCUGCAGGAACACCGCCCUUCGACAGGAGGGCUGGUGGCG